rnacentral:rRNA from 1 species
GGGGGAGCAGGGCGGGGUGCCUACUCAUGCAUUCAAGGASRGSGGCUUCGRCCGGGAGCAUUUGCGCGCAGGAUGAWKAAYGUAUAGGUCUCUGCCCUUUGGACUGGGAUMACCCCGAGAAAUCGGGGACAAUACCAGAUGAUGCAGCGGAACCGCAUGGUUAUGUUGUUAAAGAUUUAUCGCCGAAGGAUGAACCUAUAUCCCAUCAGGUAGUUGGUAAGGUAACGGCUUACCAAGCCUACGACGGGUAGCUGGUCUGAGAGGAUGAUCAGCCACAUUGGAACUGAGACACGGUCCAGACUCCUACGGGAGGCAGCAGUGAGGAAUAUUGCGCAACGGGCGAAAGCCUGACGCAGCAACGCCGCGUGGAUGAUGAAGUUCUUCGGAAUGUAAAGUCCUUUUGUAGAGGAAGAAUAUCUUGGUUUACCAGGACUGACGGUACUCUACGAAUAAGCCACGGCUAAC